rnacentral:rRNA from 1 species
GUGGGGAAUUUUGGACAAUGGGGGAAACCCUGAUCCAGCAAUGCCGCGUGUGUGAAGAAGGCCUUUGGGUUGUAAAGCACUUUAAGUGGAGAAGAAGUUUCAAAAGCUAAUAUUUUUUGAAAUUGACGGUAUCAACAGAAUAAGCACCGGCUAACUCUGUGCCAGCAGCCGCGGUAAUACAGAGGGUGCGAGCGUUAAUCGGAAUAACUGGGCGUAAAGGGUGUGUAGGUGGUUUUAUAAGUUUGAUGUGAAAUUCCCGGGCUUAACCUGGGGACUGCGUUAAAUACUGUAAAGCUAGAGUCGGGUAGAGGGUUGUGGAAUUUUCGGUGUAGCGGUGAAAUGCGUAGAGAUCGGAAAGAACACCAGAGGCGAAGGCGGCAGCCUGGACCCAGACUGACACUGAGGCACGAAAGCGUGGGGAGCAAACAGGAUUAGAUACCCUUGUAGUCC